CUACCAUGGCAGUCACGGGUAACGGAGAAUUAGGGUUCGAUUCCGGAGAGGGAGCCUGAGAAACGGCUACCACAUCUACGGAAGGCAGCAGGCGCGCAAAUUGCCCAAUCCCGACACGGGGAGGCAGUGACAAGAAAUAACAACUCUAGGUUUUCUUAGAAGUGUAAUGAGGAUAAUUUACAAACCCUACCAAAUGCAAUUGGAGGGCAAGUCUGGUGCCAGCAGCCGCGGUAAUUCCAGCUCCAAUAGCGUAUAUUAAAGUUGUUGCAGUUAAAAAGCUCGUAGUUGAAAAUCUGAUUGCUCAGGUCUCCAGCCUUUAGGCGGGGAUUCUGACAGUCAUCCGCUUGCAAACAUAUGUUCGAUCUUCACCGGUUGGCUAUGUGAGUAAGCACUUUACCUUGAGAAAAACAGAGUGUUCCUGGCAGGUUUGUCCGGAAUGCAUUAGCAUGGAAUAAUAGAACAUGACUGAAGUCUAUUUAUUGGUUAAAGGCUUUAGUAAUGAUUAAUAGGAACAGUCGGGGGCAUUCGUACUCAGCAGUCAGAGGUGAAAUUCUAAGAUUUGCCGAAGACGAACUAAUGCGAAAGCAUUUGCCAAGGAUGUUUUCAUUAAUCAAGAACGAAAGUUAGGGGAUC
rnacentral:rRNA from 1 species